rnacentral:rRNA from 1 species
AGCGGCGAACGGGUGAGUAACACGUAGGUGAUCUGCCCAUCAGACGGGGACAACGAUUGGAAACGAUCGCUAAUACCGGAUAGGACGAAAGUUUAAAGGUGCUUCUGGCACCGCUGAUGGAUGAGCCUGCGGCGCAUUAGCUAGUUGGUAGGGUAAAGGCCUACCAAGGCGACGAUGCGUAGCCGACCUGAGAGGGUGAACGGCCACACUGGGACUGAGACACGGCCCGGACUCCUACGGGAGGCAGCAGUAGGGAAUCUUCGGCAAUGGGCGAAAGCCUGACCGAGCAACGCCGCGUGAAUGAUGAAGGCCUUCGGGUUGUAAAAUUCUGUUAUAAGGGAAGAACGGCUUUAGUAGGAAAUGGCUAGAGUGUGACGGUACCUUAUGAGAAAGCCACGGCUAACUACGUGCCAGUAGCCGCGGUAAUACGUAGGUGGCGAGCGUUAUCCGGAAUUAUUGGGCGUAAAGAGCGCGCAGGUGGUUGAUUAAGUCUGAUGUGAAAGCCCACGGCUUAACCGUGGAGGGUCAUUGGAAACUGGUCGACUUGAGUGCAGAAGAGGGAAGUGGAAUUCUAUGUGUAGCGGUGAAAUGCGUAGAGAUAUGGAGGAACACCAGUGGCGAAGGCGGCUUCCUGGUCUGUAACUGACACUGAGGCGCGAAAGCGUGGGGAGCAAACAGGAUUAGAUACCCUGGUAGUCCACGCCGUAAACGAUGAGUGCUAAGUGU